UAAAAUAAACACGUAACAGUUCAUUCUGUGCUAUUUUUCAAUGUGAGUCAGUGAGUGACCGGUGACUGGUUGCUGCAGCCAAUGAUGCGAUUCACAUACGUAUUUACCAUAGACUGUAUAUAAUGGUAUUUACGCAGCUAAUCAACGUCAGGCGUCCUUAUGUGCAGCCACCAUUGUUGUCAUAGAUAUGAAUCAGUAGAUAGGACACGCCCCUUUGAGCUGCGUGCUACAGCGAGGCUAAGCUAGUGGGAGCAAAGUUUCAGUGCAUUCCGUUGAUGUAGACGGCGUGAAAACGGAAACAAGUAUGCCGGCUCACUGUGCUGCAUACAAUUACACACUGCGUCGUACGAUUGAGACAAGGAAACUUGGAAUGACUUUUCAUAGGUUUCCCAGAGACUAUGGGUUGAGGAGGAAUUGGAAGUUUGUCAGCUUAGACCUGGUGUCAUUCCAUCAGUGUUAAACUUCCCGGCUCAUCUUGGAAGAGUACGUGCCAGAAAGACCACGACCAAGCAGCCUUGAGAUCUUAGGCAGCGUCUCCCUGAGGUCCCUCUCUCUCUCCCCACACAUCCACCAACCACUGGAACACAUCUCCAAAGUUCUGCCAGGCCAGCUCAGCUUCCCCUCAGAAGAAGUGCUGCCACCUGCCAGAUGAAGGAGCCUUUUGAGAGGCAGCUGGCAUCGUGAUUGGACUGUACUUUGGUCUGUUCCAAUCCAGCUUCAGCUCCAGAGACGGCAGGCGGGACGAGUCAACGGAGGCCGGGUGGACGAAGGCAUGCAGCUGAGUACAAUCCAGAAAACAACAGAGGAGGAGUGCAGCUGCCCAGGGCCAGAACAAACAGAGUAGCAUCGUAUGUCUCUUAGAAAACAUCAUAGUAUAGCCUUUGGUAUGAAAAAACGCCAUCAUAUACAUCGUAUAUUGUACAAAUAACAAGUCAAAGGAAAGAGACAUACAUUGUAGAAUUGUAGUAAUUGUGGGCUGACUGAUUUACUGAUUAUCAGUAUUUUAUUUUUUACUGAUUUACGGUAAUAAAUACAUUUAAAAAAUGGUGCUACUUUGGCUCUGAACCUUUAUCUACCUGUGGUCGCUCUGUCUUCUGGAGUGAUUUGAUUGGUUAUACGUAACGAAUAAAACUCCUUUAACUUAACAUCUGUAAACAAAACAAAAACGUAUCAACAAAGUUUUCUGUUAGA